GCCUGACAGCCAUGCCGGCCUAGCGUAUCCAGGCUGAGAUCUGGCACUUAAGCUGCAAAAUCGCCAGAAAUCUGCAGUUUAUACCCCCUACUAAAAACUCAACCUGCCUCCAAAGUAUUCCUGAAUCAAGUGGGGAUGUACCUGAGCGUGAUUGAUGUCACUUGGUGUCUACACAGACAGAGAGCCGAAAGCUGGCUGGCUGGUGCAUCUGGGGGGGUGGACAAGCGGCUGAUCUCUUCUCGUUCCCGUGCAUCUGUCUGGUGCCCCGUUCCCCCUUCCUCCCCCCCCCACCCAGGGCUGGUGGGGUGAUCCCAGACCACCCAUGGAGGCUCCCCUGAUGAACAGACGCUGCAUGCUCCUCCAACCCCUGCCCGUAAGCUAUGCACUUCCACUCUCACUAUAUGGACCAUUAAAGUCCUUAGGGGGCAGAUAAAGAAGCUCUGAUGCUUAGGCCAGCCUGCUUACCUGAGGGGAUACAGGGUCCAGUCGCACCGAGGGCCGUAGAGCCCCUUUAAUCACUCUUCUGGAGCCGCACACCAGUUGAUUUCAUCAAUGUGCUUGGGACAUUCUCACCCCAGUCCUGGGACACUCUUGAGCAGCAUUACUCCAUCUGUACACAGGGCAAUCACUUCAUGCCUGAAGGGGGGUCUCUACUCUCAGUUAAUGCUCUCUAACAUCUUACAGUUCCUGUUCAAUUAUAUCUUGGUAAAACUAUUCACUAUGCUAUGACAAUGUAUGAUUCUACAGUACUCUCUUUUGCUCAUGCAUUUAAAAAAAAGAAAUGUGAUAAUGUUAUCGAUGCCACAUAACUGUUAUACAAUGGUUGAUUAUCUGUUUGUACCAGCUGAUGUUGCAGUGCGAACCUGCCUGUUUAAUCUAUGCACAAAUAAAAU